UACGGGGGGGGCAAGCGUUGUUCGGAAUUACUGGGCGUAAAGGGCUCGUAGGUGGCCAACUAAGUCAGACGUGAAAUCCCCAGGCUCAACUUGGGAACUGCGUCUGAUACUGGAUGGCUUGAAUUCGGGAGAGGGAUGCAGAAUUCCAGGUGUAGCGGUGAAAUGCGUAGAUAUCUGGAGGAAUACCGGUGGCGAAGGCGGCAUCCUGGGCCAGUACUGACGCUGAGGAGCGAAAGCGUGGGGAGCAAACAGG
rnacentral:rRNA from 1 species